AAGUCGAUUCUUCCAGCUGGCGAACACUAAACUGGCGAAACUGAGAAGGUCAGUGCAACAAGCCUUAGUCUUUAAGACAGAUCCAACUCCUUAAUUUUCCACCUGCUACAAAAACUGAAUACUUAGAAAUGGCGCUGGAAUUGAGAUCUCUCUUGCAAUUUUCAAAACAGAGAGAAUGAAGGGGAAUUGAGAUCUCCCUUGCAAUUUUCAAAACAGAGGAG